GGGCGGUUAGCUCAGUUGGUUAGAGCGCUGCGUUGACAUCGCAGAGGCCACUGGUUCAAGUCCAGUAUCGCCCACCA
rnacentral:tRNA from 1 species